AUGGAAGGGGAGGCGAACGGCGAGAGUGGUGAAUCUGGAAACUGCAUCGGCCAUGGUGCUGACAUCCAGAGGAGGAAGCAUCAGGAGACAAAAUCGGAGAUUGAAGUGGCCAAGAAGAGAGGUCAGGUUGCGGCAUUGAUUUCCGCUUCCGUUGACACAAAAUUGGAGAUGGGGGAAACUGAGGGGAUGAAGGAGAACAUGCUGUCGGAGAUCCUGCACGAGGGGACAAAAUCGGAGACUCAGUCGGCCACGGAGAUGGUUAGGGCUGAGAUCUGCUCCUUACUCAGUCGUAUCUCCAAGAACGUGACGGAGCUGAAAGCCGAGCAGAAGCUGAGGAUUAUCGACUAUAGCAGUGACGAGGUCCAUAUCCACAUGGAUAACAUGUACAGCGAGGUGACAAAUUUGCUGCAGAUGAUGGAGAAGGUGCAGAACAGCGAGAUUCCCGGCAAAGAGCAAGUCUCGGAGAACAUCGGUGUGGAAGGGAUUCAGAUUAGGACUGAAGACAAGGGUGGAUCAGCAACCAAGACGCAGGGGCUGACCUACUAUGAAUAUGGAUUGAAUGCAAUCUUCAACGGGUUGGAUCAGCUUUGCACCCGGUUGGAUCAGAUGGGACAUCUUAGUUACAAUUCUCAAUUGUUCUCCGAGCUGUUCAAGGAGUCGGUCAACAUGACCAAAAUCAGGUUAAGAGCCAGAAUCAAAUUGGAUGAGGUAGAUGAGACGCCACCAAUAAUUUCCAAUGAUACUCUGGAGGCAGCCAACGGGAAGAGCGAGGUGUCGCCGAAGAUUUCCACUUCCACAGAGAUAAAAUUGGAGAUAGAGGAAACCAAGGAGAUGGGAGUUAAAGCAAAAGAGAAGCUCAGGAAGGCCAUGAUGCACAAUAAACAGGCUGAGGAGUUCUUUGAUGAGUACCGUCGUGGCUGGGUAUCGAAUUGGUCCAGAUUCUACGGUACCUUCACAGAGACGACUUCAUUGAGUCCUAUGCACUUUACACACAGUACACCAGGAAACACCCCAUCUGCGGCUUUCGUUGCUAGCACUCUGCAGAUUUACUCCAUCCAAGUUAAAGAAAUAGAAGAUGUUCCAGGCUUGAAGUGGCCGCUGGAAGUGUACGGCGUGAUAGCUGCAAGAGACGCUGUGGAUCACAAUCGCAACAUACUCUUUUCCUGUCGAAGGAAUAACUGCCAAAUACUCAAUCAAGAGGAUCCUUUUUUGCACUUGACUGGCCCGUCUCGUGCAAUUGUAUGCGAGGAACCUGUUCGUGUGGAAAUCAAGCUCAAAGUGAAGGGUGGAACGGAGUCUGAAGAUAUUGCAUUGAUGACUCGUGUCUGGUAUUACAGCGGUAAAGUGUCAUGUACUCUAUAUACCCCUCUUGUCGGAGGCUUAUGCACAAUGGUGUUAAGCUCAGAGGAACUUCAUGAAUCAGUCCAGGCUACUAUCGUGGGUAUCCGUCUCCGUGUUCCUGAAGAGACACCAAGUCUUUUCAAAAACGGUGGCAGAGUUGUUUGCUUCUCUCUGCCUCGGAAAGGCAGGCCUCGGAAAGGCAGGUUGCCUAACAGUACUCACCCUUUAUUUCGGCAAGUUGUGCUUCAAGAUGGAACAAUGACUAGUUGUUCAAAGGGUUACCUUAAUCUGUCAAGGCAUGUUGUCUCUGUAAAAUUAUGUGGAACGCUUGAAGUUGUCAUACAUGCUAACUCGCAGUCUGGGGCUAUCAAAGGUGAAGUAUCCAUCAAGGCCCAGAAUUGCAAUAUAACUCAGGAUGUGUGUCACCUUGGCGACUCUGAGCUGGAAAUCACGGUUGCUUGGUCCCGUCUAGUUCAAGACAAGCUGUGGAUCUCAAUGGAGGGAAGUGAGGAAGUUUGA
rnacentral:rRNA from 1 species